AACUCUGUGUCGACGGAGGAUCCAGCCAGAGAGUUUAUCCACGAAGGAUAGCGGUUGCAGUCCCGUCACCCAAAAAUAAAAAAGAAAAAAAAGAUCUAGCCAAAUUAAUCUAUUAAAUAAUAAUGCAAAAAACUUUAAAAUAAUGAAAAAAGUGGAGGAUCGUGGAAUCAUUAGAAUUGAUAAGAUGGUUAAAAUCCAGCAACAGAACCACAGGAUUCUACAAUUCAAUUUUCCUAUUAGAAUUGGAUCGUAGAAUAGAACUAUAUAUGAUCAUAACAUCGGGAUCGAGAGAAUAUAACAACCAUGGUUCUACUUUCUUCAAACAUCUACCAAGGGUCUAUAAUUUAACAUCUAAUUUUCAGCAGCUAAUGAUUUUUAUUGGUAUAUUAUAUUAUGUUCAUUUAUCUGAAAUUGAUUGAAGGAAUCAGUAAAGUUGCAGACUGCAUCAAUGGUGGUCAGCAGUCAGAAUUAUGCUAUCACCAUUCCACUAGGGAAUUUUGAUACGGAAGCUUAAGCCCUUCUACACGCUGAACCUGUUUUGUGAUGGCAAGUAGGAAGGCAAUCACAGAGGUCAUAUUGGAUCAUGGUUUAGUUGCUGAAAGAAGGCCGUGAACAAUGAAGCCUAGAUUCAAACACAAGGCAGAAUGGAGAGAUACUUACCAAUGUUUGCAGGCAAGCAUUAGCAUUUGGCACUACGGCUUCAAUCAUCUGAUUUCCAUGUAUGGAUCUGAGAAGAACGGAAGUACAGAAACUACAAUCAAAGAAAGGGGGUCACAAAUUUACAAAAUGACAUUAACACAAGAGUUGGAAUUUGGAAGGUAAAAGGUCUUAGCAGAGGGAAAAAGAUACGAGUAAGCAACUUUGGAAAUCUUGACUUGUCUAAAAUCUCACUUCCUCGACGAGCCUACAAGUUGAUUGGACAGCGCACUUACCAUAUAAUGAGUCAAAUUAUCAAAAUCCCCAAACAUUCGUUGAAGAGCAGGAUGGAGAGGCCAGGAGUUUUCAUUUUAAGAAUCUAUUAAGGCAAAACAUGCUAACUUUUUGGAAUGAUCGACUGGCUGAGAUCCGUAACUCUCGGGGUGGUGCAAAAUUCUCCAACCGUUUGACCAAUUUGUUUUACUUAAUUUUUGCUGCUCCACUUGCUUUACUUAAUUUUUGUUUCUAUCCACCUUGUUCCCAUGUCAUUAACUUGCAAUUAUUUACGGUUCAGAAUUAUCUAAAUCUCUUUAUACCUGAUAUGAGCUCUAAACUUUUUGCACUGAGAAAAGAAUUUAUGCUAGAAACGAAAGGUUGGACCAUCAAUUCAAUAUAAUUCAUAAUCAUCCGGUUAUGAUGAAUCUAAACCAGCCCAUUAUGUAUAGAGUAAUGCUACCUAGUACUAGUAAUUCUUGAACACCAGUUUAGGUAGCGUUUAAUGAUAAAGUCAAUGAAAUGUUGAAUUAAAUUAUUCAUUUAAUUAUAUCUCUCAUUUAAUGCUACAUUAGUGCCCCAUAGACCGAUAUUUUAACAUUAAUGGUGCUAAAUAACUUUGCUAUUAUGUUUAUGAUUCGACAAGCCAACUACAAACAACUUAUUAGAAAUAGAAGACACCCAAUUCGAAAUGUCAUGAAAUCCUCUGCUCUUCGGGGAUGUCCUCAGUUCUCUUCAUCCUUGAGGGCCUUGCCAAAAGUUUUUUUGUUGCACAUGUACUUCUUAAAGUCUAUGAAUACGUGAUCUUGUAAUGAAUUUUCUCAUUUUACCCCUCUUUGCAGUUAUUGUGAAAAAAUGUAAUCAAUAUGAAAGGACUUUUUGCUAAUGGAGGAUCGAAUCUUGUAAACAUGAAAGAAAUAGUAUGACUCCUUUUUUCCAUCAAUGAUCCAAAAGAAAAAAAAUGCCUCGCAAUUUUUCAGGCUAUAAUUAUUCCAAUAUACACUUAAGUCAAAAAGCACUAGUAACUACUGCUAUUUUACAUUUGCCCAUGUGGUAAUGGCUGAAAUUAAUGAGUGCAUUGAUUUUUAGAGUUAUUGAAUUGAUAAAUUGAAAUCCAUAUUUUAUCUUGUUGUUGGAAACCAAAAAAAAAUUAAAUAAAAAAUAAAUAAAAAAUAAAAAAAUGGUGUUUCUUCUGCAUAGACUUCAUUUGUUAAUUAUUUUAUUUUCUU